GAUUUGAAAUCCGGCCCCCGCGCGGGGGCCCGAGUUGUAAUCUGCAGAGGACGCUUUCGGCGCGGCGCCUUCCGAGUUCCCUGGAACGGGACGCCACAGAGGGUGAGAGCCCCGUCCGGUCGGACGCCAAGCCACUGUAAAGCUCCUUCGACGAGUCGAGUAGUUUGGGAAUGCUGCUCAAAACGGGAGGUAUAUGUCUUCUAAAGCUAAAUACCGGCCAGAGACCGAUAGCGCACAAGUAGAGUGAUCGAAAGAUGAAAAGCACUUUGAAAAGAGGGUUAAACAGUACGUGAAAUUGUUGAAAGGGAAGCGCUCGCGACCAGACGCGGGCCCAGCGGUCGGCGUCGGCGUUCUCGCCGGCGCGCUCCGCGGGCCCGGGCCAGCAUCAGCCCGCCGCGGGGGAGAAAGGCGCCGGGAACGUGGCUCCCCACGGGGAGUGUUAUAGCCCGGCGCGCCAUGCCCUGCGCGCGGGCUGAGGCACGCGCUCCGCAAGGAUGCUGGCGUAAUGGUCACCAGCGACCCGUCUUGAAACACGGACCAAGGAGUCGUCCUCGUAUGCGAGUGUUCGGGUGUCAAGCCCCUACGCGCAAUGAAAGUGAACGCAGGUGAGAGCCUCGGCGCAUCAUCGACCGAUCCCGAUGUUCUCGGACGGAUUUGAGUAGGAGCAUACGGGGCCGGACCCGAAAGAAGGUGAACUAUGCCUGCGUAGGGUGAAGCCAGAGGAAACUCUGGUGGAGGCUCGCAGCGGUUCUGACGUGCAAAUCGAUCGUCAAACGUGGGCAUGGGGGCGAAAGACUAAUCGAAC
rnacentral:rRNA from 1 species